rnacentral:lncRNA from 1 species
GAAUAAUAAAGAUGAUUCAUAAACGUGUAGAAAAAGUUAAGAAAUUACAAAAUAGACAAUUAUGCGCUUUCAAAACGCGGGUGAAAAUCUAGUUAUUAUAAAAAUUUAGAUUUGAAAACAUAUAAUUUGAAACUAUUCAAAAAAUAAUUUAUUAUUAUUUAUUUAAGUUAUCUUUGAAUUAUUUAAAAUUAUUUUUUCAUAUUUUCUUCUUAAAUUUCUAAAAUGCUUUUUGUUUUUUAAAUUUAUUUUUAGCUUUUUUUAAUUUUUUUAAACACAAUAACAAUAAUUAAGUUAAUUAAACACAAUUAGUUAUAGUUUAUAUUUUGUAAAACUAAUUCUAGAUAAUUAGAAAUAUAUGAAUAAAACAU